rnacentral:rRNA from 1 species
ACUCCUACGGGAGGCAGCAGUGGGGAAUAUUGCACAAUGGGCGCAAGCCUGAUGCAGCAACGCCGUGUGAGUGAAGAAGGUUUUCGGAUCGUAAAACUCUGUCCUAAGGGAAGAAAAAAAUGACGGUACCUUAGGAGGAAGCCCCGGCUAACUACGUGCCAGCAGCCGCGGUAAUACGUAGGGGGCAAGCGUUAUCCGGAAUCACUGGGGCGUAAAGGGGUGCGUAGGCGGCUUAGCAAGCCAGGGGUGAAAGGCAUUGGCUCAACCAAUGUAAGCCUUUGGAACUGUUAAGCUUGAGUGCAGGAGAGGUAAGUGGAAUUCCUAGUGUAGAGGUGAAAUUCGUAGAUAUUAGGAGGAACACCAGUGGCGAAGGCGACUUACUGGACUGUAACUGACGCUGAUGCACGAAAGCGUGGGUAGCGAACAGGAUUAGAUACCCUGGUAGGUCAGUC